rnacentral:lncRNA from 1 species
GCGGUGUUAAACUAUCUUCUCAAAGCAACCCUGAACAUCCAUGGAGAAAGGGAAUGUCGACUCUGUGCCGAGCAGAUAGAUUUGACAAAUUAGCAAUUGACGCCUUGCAGUGUUGGCUAUGAGGUUCAUAUAUUUUUCCUAUAUUCUCUUAGAAUGUUCCUCGAAUUCCUUUAUCAAAAACGUAUAUACUGGAAUCCUUNNN